rnacentral:rRNA from 1 species
UACGUAGGGUGCAAGCGUUUGUCCGGAAUUAUUGGGCGUAAAGAGCUCGUAGGCGGUCUGUCGCGUCGGCUGUGAAAUCCCGAGGCUCAACCUCGGGUCUGCAGUCGAUACGGGCAAACUAGAGUGUUGCAGGGGAGACUGGAAUUCCUGGUGUAGCGGUGAAAUGCGCAGAUAUCAGGAGGAACACCGGUGGCGAAGGCGGGUCUCUGGGCAACAACUGACGCUGAGGAGCGAAAGCGUGGGGAGCGAACAGG